rnacentral:rRNA from 1 species
UACGGGGGGGAGCAAGCGUUUGUUCGGAUUUACUGGGCGUAAAGGGCGCGUAGGCGGCGCAACAAGUCACUUGUGAAAUCUCCGGGCUUAACCCGGAGCGGUCAAGUGAUACUGUCGUGCUAGAGUGCGGAAGGGGCUACUGGAAUUCUCGGUGUAGCGGUGAAAUGCGCAGAUAUCGGGGAGGAACACCUAUGGCGAAGGCAGCUUGCUGGGACGGUACUGACGCUGGAGACGCGAAAGGCCGUGGGGAGCAAACAGG